rnacentral:lncRNA from 1 species
CACAGUUGAAGCAUGAUGCUAUGGUGGAAAAAGGCACUGGUGUAGAUGGAAAUUCCAGCAAUAAAUAUUGGAUAUUCUUUAUACCUUGCCCAGAAGAGAAGUGUGACAAUGAAGUUGUUCAAUGCCAGUGAGAUACUGCAUGAACAAAGCAGCUGUGGUGGAGCAGAGGAUCAGCAUCUCCAAAAGCUGGAAGCCCAGGCAUUCUGUCCUCUCCAGAAUUAAACUGUUCUCCAUAUUGAGCACUUGGAUAUCUUAACCCUGGACUGCUCUUACAGACUGGCUGCUUUGAAGACCAGAUGUGAAAAGGUUUGGACAGACAUAAAGUAGUGUCCCCUAUAAACAUCAGAAACCCAGUCUUAUCCUCUGAUGGAAAGCAAUGGGCUACAAUCUGCCAGUCAGGCAUGACAGCUCAGACCCAUGCUAGAAUUACUAAUCUAAAAAAAUGAAGUUACUCGUGCUCUUGGCACGUUACAUAUAUUGCCAUCUGUAGUAGCAGUUGCAUAAGUGGUGCCAGGAUUUCUUUAGGAAUUGAGAGCAUUUUAUCUUUCCAAUACCCAGAGAAAUGUUAAGGUGUUGCUAGCAGCUUUGUUGCUAAUUACACUUACAACUAAAGAAAAAAAAAGUAUAGCAUGAGAUAAUUACAAGGAGUGUCAG